rnacentral:rRNA from 1 species
GUCUAAGGCCACGCUAUCCUGAACAAGCCUGAUACCAUCUGAUCUUGGAAGCUUAGCAAGGUCGGGCCUGGUUAGUACUUGGAUGGGAGACCAUUUAGGAAGACCAGGUGCUGUAGGCA